rnacentral:misc_RNA from 1 species
GUGAAUCAUCAAAUUUUUGAACGCAAAUUGCGCCUUUUUCGGAAGGCAUGUCUGUUUGAGGGCACCAUUUAACAAAUAAUGUGCAUGCUGUGUGUAUUUUUACGCACACGUGCACACGUUGAUGAGCUUUCCAAAAUUAUGUAUUAUUAUUUUUGGUGGCGCAUAAUAAACAGCGCGAUGCUUUUUUUCAGUUCGAGUGUAGUAAAAUUUUUUCUUGCUUGGGUUGUGAAAAGCGUGAUCGCGCAAUGGGUGUGGCGAUUCUACUAACCCUGCCCCAACGCCACUCUUUCUCGCGAAAGAA